rnacentral:rRNA from 1 species
UACGUAGGUGGCAAGCGUUAUCCGGAUUUAUUGGGUGUAAAGGGCGUGUAGGCGGGAGCGCAAGUCAGAUGUGAAAACUCAGGGCUCAACCCUGAGCCUGCAUUUGAAACUGUGUUUCUUGAGUGCUGGAGAGGCAAUCGGAAUUCCGUGUGUAGCGGUGAAAUGCGUAGAUAUACGGAGGAACACCAGUGGCGAAGGCGGAUUGCUGGACAGUAACUGACGCUGAGGCGCGAAAGCGUGGGGAGCAAGCAGG